AGCAGCCGCGGUAAUUCCAGCUCCAAUAGCGUAUAUUAAAGUUGUUGCAGUUAAAAAGCUCGUAGUUGAAUUUCGAAAUUUUUUUAUCGGUUGAAUCAACAGGUUCGUACUGAUUUUAAGAAUUUCUACCUUCUGGAGAACCUUAAUGUCAUUUAUUUGAUGUUUUGGGAAACCAGGACUGUUACCUUGAAAAAAUUAGAGUGUUUAAAGCAGGCUUAUGUCUGAAUAUAUUAGCAUGGAAUAAUGAAAUAGGACGGCAUGGUUCUAUUUUGUUGGUUUCUAGGAUCACCGUAAUGAUUAAUAGGGAUAGUUGGGGGCAUUAGUAUUCAAUUGUCAGGGGUGAAAUUCUUGGAUUUAUUGAAGACUAACUUCUGCGAAAGCAUUUGCCAAGGAUGUUUUCAUUAAUCAAGAACGAAAGUUAGGGGAUCGAAGACGAUCAGAUACCGUCGUAGUCUUAACCAUAAACUAUGCCGACUAGGAAAUCGGACGAAGUUAAUUUUUAAAUUGACUCGUUCGGCGC
rnacentral:rRNA from 1 species